UACAAUUGUUUUUGCUUUUUUCCUAAACUACCCUCCCACCUCAUCCACUCUCUCACUCACUCACCCACUCUCUGUCUCGCCUGCGUCGCCGGCGCCUCUCCCUAGCUCGUGUCGCCGGUGCCUCUCCCUUGCUCGCGUCGCCGGUGCCUCUCCAUUGGCUCCGUCGUCGGUGCCAAGAUCUCAUUUUUAUUCUCCGGUGGCUGAUUUCGAGUGCGUCGGCUCGAUCUGCAACGGCCUUCCUCCACUCCAACGCCGUGCGGACGAUGCCAUGGAAGGGCCACCAUGACCAGGAGCAGGGCGACGCCUCGGAAGGUUCACCGACAGGAGCAACUACGUACGGUCUGAUCUUCUCCACUGACAGGGAUAUCGACAUGAAGGUCCGCCAUGGAAGGCCUGGAGCUCGUCAUGGAGGGGCCCUCCUCUCUCUUCCCCUCCCUCUACUCUAUUGGUUGGUUGGACGAAAGACCACCGCUCGUCCGGCUCUGCUUCUUCCACCGUUGCUCCCCUCCCACCAUAGUGCCACAGACGCUAUGCCAAGCACGGAAGAUUCGGGGAGCCGCCUUGAUCCAGAGUACUCGCAAUCCAUUAUAGGGCAAUUCAAAUCCUGCCUCUGGAAGCAUUGGUUGACCUAUUGGCACAACCCAAAUUACAACCUUGUCAGAUUUUCCUUCACUUUGUUCACAGCCUUGCUGCUUGGCUCCAUCCUUUGGAAGAUUGGCACCAUUAUGGGUGGAUGCCAAUACUCUUAGAAUGGUCAUUGGAGCAAUAUACACAACAAUGAUGUUUGUCCCCAUCAACAACUGUGCAACCGUUCAACCAAUUGUUUUAAUCGAGAGAACAGUUUGUACAGAGAGAGGGCUGCUCCAUUGCUCAGCUACUUAUGCAGCGAGGGUACAGGUUGUUCUAGAUGGCUCUGUAGACAGUGAGAAUGAGGAGACUCAAACCCAUGAAGAUUCUAAUGAGGAAAUCGAUUAUGAUAAAUAACAACACAGAUCAUGUGUUGACCUGGCUCUGCUGGCCAAACAGGCAUGGCGUCUCCUUGAUAAUCCCGACUCAUUGUGUGCUACUAUUCUAAGGGCCAAGUAUUACCCUGAUGGUGAUUUGCUGAACUCCAAGCCAAAACAUGGUGCUUCCUUCACCUGGCAAAGCAUUAUGGCAGGCAUUACUACUCUCAAGCGUGGCUAUAUUUGGCGAGUGGGGGAUGGACAUAACAUCAAUAUCUGGGAAGAUGUUUGGAUGCCAAAUUAUGCCACUAGAAAGAUUAUGACCCCUAAGGGGGGACAUUUGUUAUUAAAAGUGGUUGAUUUGAUUGACCCGGCCUCCAAUAAUUGGGAUGAGGACCUGAUUAGACAAACUAUGUGGUCCAUUGACGCACAACGGUUUCUUUCAAUCCCAAUUUCGCAACAUAAUAUGACA